GCAGGUUGUUGGAGAUAAAGUUUUGGAAGAGGAAAUCAGUUUUCCUCUGAUGUUCGGACGCUUCGGGCAGGUGGUGGAGACAAAGAAAUCUAUUAGACUGCAAGACGUCAGCCAGGAGGAGCGAGGUUUGCUGAGCAGUCUGUUGGGCUUCGAGCCGAAUUCAAUGCUCUGUGUACCUGUGAUGGGUCAAGCCACUGGACAGGUGGUGGCGCUAGCGUGCACCUUUAACAAACUGGGAGGACAGAGGUGUGUGUGUUAUUUUAUUCACCUCCGAGCAAUCUUCAGUAGACGGAGAGAUUUGAUGUCACGAAUCUUUGUGAAAUCCAGUGACUGCUUAAUGGAGUAUUUCACAUCAGCAGCUACAGAUAACAGAAAUCUCUCUCUCUCUGUCUCUCUCUCUCUCUGUCUCUCUCUCUCUCUCUCUCUCUCUCUCUCUCUCUCUCUCUCUCUCUCUCUCUCUCUCUCUCUCUCUCUCUCUCUCUCUCUCUCUCUCUCUCUCUCUCUCUCUCUCUCUUCUCUCUCUCUCUCUCUCUCUCU